GGGUUGUGAGGUUAAGCGACUAAGCGUACACGGUGGAUGCCCUGGCAGUCAGAGGCGAUGAAGGACGUGCUAAUCUGCGAAAAGCGUCGGUAAGGUGAUAUGAACCGUUAUAACCGGCGAUGUCCGAAUGGGGAAACCCAGUGUGAUUCGUCACACUAUCGUUAACUGAAUACAUAGGUUAACGAGGCGAACCGGGGGAACUGAAACAUCUAAGUACCCCGAGGAAAAGAAAUCAACCGAGAUUCCCCCAGUAGCGGCGAGCGAACGGGGAGCAGCCCAGAGUCUGAAUCAGCUUGUGUGUUAGUGGAACGGUCUGGAAAGUCCGACGGUACAGGGUGAUAGUCCCGUACACCAAAAUGCACAGGCUGUGAACUCGAAGAGUAGGGCGGGACACGUGGUAUCCUGUCUGAAUAUGGGGGGACCAUCCUCCAAGGCUAAAUACUCCUGACUGACCGAUAGUGAACCAGUACCGUGAGGGAAAGGCGAAAAGAACCCCGGCGAGGGGAGUGAAAAAGAACCUGAAACCGUGUACGUACAAGCAGUGGGAGCACCUUCGGGUGUGACUGCGUACCUUUUGUAUAAUGGGUCAGCGACUUAUAUUCUGUAGCAAGGUUAACCGUAUAGGGGAGCCGCAGGGAAACCGAGUCUUAACUGGGCGUUAAGUUGCAGGGUAUAGACCCGAAACCCGGUGAUCUAGCCAUGGGCAGGUUGAAGGUUGGGUAACACUAACUGGAGGACCGAACCGACUAAUGUUGAAAAAUUAGCGGAUGACUUGUGGCUGGGGGUGAAAGGCCAAUCAAACCGGGAGAUAGCUGGUUCUCCCCGAAAGCUAUUUAGGUAGCGCCUCGUGAACUCAUCUUCGGGGGUAGAGCACUGUUUCGGCUAGGGGGUCAUCCCGACUUACCAACCCGAUGCAAACUACGAAUACCGAAGAAUGUUAUCACGGGAGACACACGGCGGGUGCUAACGUCCGUCGUGAAGAGGGAAACAACCCAGACCGCCAGCUAAGGUCCCAAAGUCAUGGUUAAGUGGGAAACGAUGUGGGAAGGCACAGACAGCCAGGAUGUUGGCUUAGAAGCAGCCAUCAUUUAAAGAAAGCGUAAUAGCUCACUGGUCGAGUCGGCCUGCGCGGAAGAUGUAACGGGGCUAAACCAUGCACCGAAGCUGCGGCAGCGACACUAUGUGUUGUUGGGUAGGGGAGCGUUCUGUAAGCCUGCGAAGGUGACCUGUGAGGGUUGCUGGAGGUAUCAGAAGUGCGAAUGCUGACAUAAGUAACGAUAAAGCGGGUGAAAAGCCCGCUCGCCGGAAGACCAAGGGUUCCUGUCCAACGUUAAUCGGGGCAGGGUGAGUCGACCCCUAAGGCGAGGCCGAAAGGCGUAGUCGAUGGGAAACAGGUUAAUAUUCCUGUACUUGGUGUUACUGCGAAGGGGGGACGGAGAAGGCUAUGUUAGCCGGGCGACGGUUGUCCCGGUUUAAGCAUGUAGGCUGGUUGUCCAGGCAAAUCCGGAUAAUCAAGGCUGAGGUGUGAUGACGAGGUACUACGGUGCUGAAGUAACAAAUGCCCUGCUUCCAGGAAAAGCCUCUAAGCAUCAGGUAACAUCAAAUCGUACCCCAAACCGACACAGGUGGUCAGGUAGAGAAUACCAAGGCGCUUGAGAGAACUCGGGUGAAGGAACUAGGCAAAAUGGUGCCGUAACUUCGGGAGAAGGCACGCUGGUGUGUAGGUGAAGUCCCUGCGGAUGGAGCUGAGACCAGUCGAAGAUACCAGCUGGCUGCAACUGUUUAUUAAAAACACAGCACUGUGCAAACACGAAAGUGGACGUAUACGGUGUGACGCCUGCCCGGUGCCGGAAGGUUAAUUGAUGGGGUUAUCCGUAAGGAGAAGCUCUUGAUCGAAGCCCCGGUAAACGGCGGCCGUAACUAUAACGGUCCUAAGGUAGCGAAAUUCCUUGUCGGGUAAGUUCCGACCUGCACGAAUGGCGUAAUGAUGGCCAGGCUGUCUCCACCCGAGACUCAGUGAAAUUGAACUCGCUGUGAAGAUGCAGUGUACCCGCGGCAAGACGGAAAGACCCCGUGAACCUUUACUAUAGCUUGACACUGAACAUUGAGCCUUGAUGUGUAGGAUAGGUGGGAGGCUUUGAAGCGUGGACGCCAGUCUGCGUGGAGCCAACCUUGAAAUACCACCCUUUAAUGUUUGAUGUUCUAACGUUGGCCCCUGACCGGGGUUGCGGACAGUGUCUGGUGGGUAGUUUGACUGGGGCGGUCUCCUCCCAAAGCGUAACGGAGGAGCACGAAGGUUAGCUAAUCCUGGUCGGACAUCAGGAGGUUAGUGCAAUGGCAUAAGCUAGCUUGACUGCGAGCGUGACGGCGCGAGCAGGUGCGAAAGCAGGUCAUAGUGAUCCGGUGGUUCUGAAUGGAAGGGCCAUCGCUCAACGGAUAAAAGGUACUCCGGGGAUAACAGGCUGAUACCGCCCAAGAGUUCAUAUCGACGGCGGUGUUUGGCACCUCGAUGUCGGCUCAUCACAUCCUGGGGCUGAAGUAGGUCCCAAGGGUAUGGCUGUUCGCCAUUUAAAGUGGUACGCGAGCUGGGUUUAGAACGUCGUGAGACAGUUCGGUCCCUAUCUGCCGUGGGCGCUGGAGAAUUGAGGGGGGCUGCUCCUAGUACGAGAGGACCGGAGUGGACGCAUCACUGGUGUUCGGGUUGUCAUGCCAAUGGCACUGCCCGGUAGCUAAAUGCGGAAGAGAUAAGUGCUGAAAGCAUCUAAGCACGAAACUUGCCCCGAGAUGAGUUCUCCCUGAGACUUUAAGUCUCCUGAAGGAACGUUGAAGACGACGACGUUGAUAGGCCGGGUGUGUAAGCGCAGCGAUGCGUUGAGCUAACCGGUACUAAUGAACCGUGAGGCUUAACCUUACAACGCCGAAG
rnacentral:rRNA from 1 species